AGAUGUAUAGCUCAAGUGGUAGAGCGCAUGCUUAGCAUGCAUGAGGUCCUGGGUUCAAUUCCCAGUACCUCCU
rnacentral:tRNA from 1 species